rnacentral:rRNA from 1 species
UUUUCAACGGCCGCGGUACCCUGACCGUGAAAGGAAGCAUAAUCAUUUGCCCUAUAAUUGAGGGCUAGUAUGAAUGGUUUGACAAGAGUAAUACUGUCUCUACAGAAAUUUUUAGAAUUUAUUUUUUAGGUGAAGAAACCUAAAUUCAAUUAAAAGACAAGAAGACCCUAUCGAGCUUUAAAUUUAUUUGUAAAAUAAGAAAAAUAAAAUAUAUUUUUAAUUACAAAAAAUUUUGGUUGGGGCGACUAAGGAACAAAAAAAGCUUCUUUUAAUAAGAAUUAAAUUAAUAAAUAGCGAUCCAUAUUUAAUGAUUAAAAGAAUUAGUUACCGUAGGGAUAACAGCAUAAUCCUUUUUAAGAGUUCUUAUCGAAAAAAGGGUUUGUGACCUCGAUGUUGGACUAGAAUAUCCUGAAAGAUGCAGAAGUCUUCAAGG